rnacentral:rRNA from 1 species
UACGUAGGGUCCGAGCGUUGUCCGGAAUUAUUGGGCGUAAAGGGCUCGUAGGCGGUCUGUUGCGUCGGGAGUGAAAACUUACAGCUUAACUGUGAGCGUGCUUCCGAUACGGGCAAACUUGAGGUAUUCAGGGGAGAACGGAAUUCCUGGUGUAGCGGUGAAAUGCGCAGAUAUCAGGAGGAACACCGGUGGCGAAGGCGGUUCUCUGGGAAUAUCCUGACGCUGAGGAGCGAAAGUGUGGGGAGCGAACAGG